UACGGUAGGGUGCAAGCGUUAAUUCGGAAUUACUGGGCGUAAAGCGUGCGCAGGCGGUCUUGUAAGACAGAGGUGAAAAUCCCCGGGCUCAACCUGGGAACUGCCUUUGUGACUGCAAGGCUUGAGUGCGGCAGAGGGGGAUGGAAUUCCGCGUGUAGCAGUGAAAUGCGUAGAUAUGCGGAGGAAUACCGAUGGCGAAGGCAGCCCCCUGGGAUAACACUGACGCUCAUGCACGAAAGCGUGGGGAGCAAACAGG
rnacentral:rRNA from 1 species